rnacentral:rRNA from 1 species
CGGAUUACUGGGCGUAAGCGCACGCAGGCGGUCUGUCAAGUCGGAUGUGAAAUCCCCGGGCUCAACCUGGGAACUGCAUUCGAAACUGGCAGGCUGGAGUCUUGUAGAGGGGGGUAGAAUUCCAGGUGUAGCGGUGAAAUGCGUAGAGAUCUGGAGGAAUACCGGUGGCGAAGGCGGCCCCCUGGACUAAGACUGACGCUCAGGUGCGAAAGCGUGGGGAGCAAACAGGAUUAGAUACCCUGGUAGUCCACGCUGUAAACGAUGUCGACUUGGAGGUUGUUCCCUUGAGGAGUGGCUUCCGGAGCUAACGCGUUAAGUCGACCGCCUGGGGAGUACGGCUCGCAAGGAUUAAAACUCAAAGGAAUUGACGG